CUAAGGCUCCAGAGGAAGCCACGGCUAACUCUGUGCCAGCAGCCGCGGUAAUACAGAGGCGGCAAGCGUUGUUCGGAAUUAUUGGGCGUAAAGAGCACGUAGGCGGCCUUGCAAGUCAGUUGUGAAAGCCUUCCGCUUAACGGAAGAAUGCCAGCUGAUACUACAGGGCUUGAGUACGGGAGGGGAGAGUGGAACUUCUGGUGGAGCGGUGGAAUGCGUAGAUAUCAGAAGGAACGCCGGCGGCGAAAGCGACUCUCUGGCCCGAAACUGACGCUGAGUGUGCGAAAGCUAGGGGAGCAAACGGGAUUAGAUACCCCGGUAGUCCUAGCCGUAAA
rnacentral:rRNA from 1 species